GAUGAACGCUAGCUACAGGCUUAACACAUGCAAGUCGAGGGGCAGCAUGGUCUUAGCUUGCUAAGGCCGAUGGCGACCGGCGCACGGGUGAGUAACACGUAUCCAACCUGCCGUCUACUCUUGGACAGCCUUCUGAAAGGAAGAUUAAUACAAGAUGGCAUCAUGAGUCCGCAUGUUCACAUGAUUAAAGGUAUUCCGGUAGACGAUGGGGAUGCGUUCCAUUAGAUAGUAGGCGGGGUAACGGCCCACCUAGUCUUCGAUGGAUAGGGGUUCUGAGAGGAAGGUCCCCCACAUUGGAACUGAGACACGGUCCAAACUCCUACGGGAGGCAGCAGUGAGGAAUAUUGGUCAAUGGGCGAGAGCCUGAACCAGCCAAGUAGCGUGAAGGAUGACUGCCCUAUGGGUUGUAAACUUCUUUUAUAAAGGAAUAAAGUCGGGUAUGGAUACCCGUUUGCAUGUACUUUAUGAAUAAGGAUCGGCUAACUCCGUGCCAGCAGCCGCGGUAAUACGGAGGAUCCGAGCGUUAUCCGGAUUUAUUGGGUUUAAAGGGAGCGUAGAUGGAUGUUUAAGUCAGUUGUGAAAGUUUGCGGCUCAACCGUAAAAUUGCAGUUGAUACUGGAUAUCUUGAGUGCAGUUGAGGCAGGCGGAAUUCGUGGUGUAGCGGUGAAAUGCUUAGAUAUCACGAAGAACUCCGAUUGCGAAGGCAGCCUGCUAAGCUGCAACUGACAUUGAGGCUCGAAAGUGUGGGUAUCAAACAGGAUUAGAUACCCUGGUAGUCCACACGGUAAACGAUGAAUACUCGCUGUUUGCGAUAUACUGCAAGCGGCCAAGCGAAAGCGUUAAGUAUUCCACCUGGGGAGUACGCCGGCAACGGUGAAACUCAAAGGAACUGACGGGGGCCCGCACAAGCGGAGGAACAUGUGGUUUAAUUCGAUGAUACGCGAGGAACCUUACCCGGGCUUAAAUUGCAGAUGAAUUACGGUGAAAGCCGUAAGCCGCAAGGCAUCUGUGAAGGUGCUGCAUGGUUGUCGUCAGCUCGUGCCGUGAGGUGUCGGCUUAAGUGCCAUAACGAGCGCAACCCUUGUUGUCAGUUACUAACAGGUUCCGCUGAGGACUCUGACAAGACUGCCAUCGUAAGAUGUGAGGAAGGUGGGGAUGACGUCAAAUCAGCACGGCCCUUACGUCCGGGGCUACACACGUGUUACAAUGGGGGGUACAGAGGGCCGCUACCACGCGAGUGGAUGCCAAUCCCCAAAACCUCUCUCAGUUCGGACUGGAGUCUGCAACCCGACUCCACGAAGCUGGAUUCGCUAGUAAUCGCGCAUCAGCCACGGCGCGGUGAAUACGUUCCCGGGCCU
rnacentral:rRNA from 1 species